rnacentral:siRNA from 1 species
GGCUCGAAUGAUGAAUGCCUC